rnacentral:rRNA from 1 species
UGCGGCUUAAUUUGACUCAACACGGGAAAACUUACCAGGUCCGGACAUAGUGAGGAUUGACAGAUUGAGAGCUCUUUCUUGAUUCU